rnacentral:rRNA from 1 species
AUUGAACGCUGGCGGCAGGCCUAACACAUGCAAGUCGAGCGAGCGGCAGACGGGUGAGUAAUGUAAGGGGAUUAGCCCGAUAGAGGGGGAUAACUACUGGAAACGGUGGCUAAUACCGCAUACUAUCGGAUGAACCCAGAUGGGAUUAGCUAGUAGGUGGGGUAAAGGCUCACCUAGGCGACGAUCUCUAGCUGGUCUGAGAGGAUGAUCAGCCACACUGGGACUGAGACACGGCCCAGACUCCUACGGGAGGCAGCAGUGGGGAAGAUUGCACAAUGGGCGCAAGCCUGAUGCAGCCAUGCCGCGUGUAUGAAGAAGGCCUUAGGGUUGUAAAGUACUUUCAGCGGGGAGGCGUUACCUUCAGAAGAAGCACCGGCUAACUCCGUGCCAGCAGCCGCGGUAAUUC